UACAGAGGGUGCUAGCGUUGUCCGGAUUUAUUGGGCGUAAAAGGCUUGUAGGUGGCCACGCCAAGUCGGAUGUGAAAUCUCCCGGCUCAACUGGGAGGGGUCAUUCGAUACUGGCGGGCUCGAGGCCGGUAGGGGGAAGUGGAAUUCCCGGUGUAGUGGUGGAAUGCGUAGAUAUCGGGAGGAACACCAGUGGCGAAGGCGGCUUCCUGGACCGGUUCUGACACUGAGGAGCGAAAGCGUGGGGAGCGAUCCGGG
rnacentral:rRNA from 1 species